AGCCAGAAGAAUGAUGGAACAGUUAAAGAGAGGGAAAAAGUCUCUCCAGAGAUGUUGAUCGAGUGUGUAAAGAAUAAGGACCACAGGAGGCUGCAGGAGCUUCAUUUGAAGGGGGCGGACCUUACAGCUCUGGACCAAUCAGGAUGCAG